AGCGAACGCUGGCGGCAGGCCUAACACAUGCAAGUCGAACGAACCUUUCGGGGUUAGUGGCGGACGGGUGAGUAACACGUGGGAACGUGCCUUUAGGUUCGGAAUAACUCAGGGAAACUUGUGCUAAUACCGAAUGUGCCCUUCGGGGGAAAGAUUAAUCGCCUUUAGAGCGGCCCGCGUCUGAUUAGCUAGUUGGUUGAGGUAAUGGCUCACCAAGGCGACGAUCAGUAGCUGGGCUGAGAGGAUGAUCAGCCACAUUGGGACUGAGACACGGCCCAAACUCCUACGGGAGGCAGCAGUGGGGAAUCUUGCGCAAUGGGCGAAAGCCUGACGCAGCCAUGCCGCGUGAAUGAUGAAGGUCUUAGGAUUGUAAAAUUCUUUCACCGGGGACGAUAAUGACGGUACCCGGAGAAGAAGCCCCGGCUAACUUCGUG
rnacentral:rRNA from 1 species